rnacentral:rRNA from 1 species
UAGGAAAUCUUCGGCAAUGGACGGAAGUCUGACCGAGCAACGCCGCGUGAGUGAAGAAGGUUUUCGGAUCGUAAAGCUCUGUUGUAAGAGAAGAACGAGUGUGAGAGUGGAAAGUUCACACUGUGACGGUAUCUUACCAGAAAGGGACGGCUAACUACGUGCCAGCAGCCGCGGUAAUACGUAGGUCCCGAGCGUUGUCCGGAUUUAUUGGGCGUAAAGCGAGCGCAGGCGGUUAGAUAAGUCUGAAGUUAAAGGCUGUGGCUUAACCAUAGUACGCUUUGGAAACUGUUUAACUUGAGUGCAAGAGGGGAGAGUGGAAUUCCAUGUGUAGCGGUGAAAUGCGUAGAUAUAUGGAGGAACACCGGUGGCGAAAGCGGCUCUCUGGCUUGUAACUGACGCUGAGGCUCGAAAGCGUGGGGAGCAAACAGGAUUAGAUACCCUGGUAGUCCACGCCGUAAACGAUGAGUGCUAGGUGUUAGACCCUUUCCGGGGUUUAGUGCCGUAGCUAACGCAUUAAGCACUCCGCCUGGGGAGUACGACCGCAAGGUUG